rnacentral:rRNA from 1 species
AUGCAGGCAUUUGAUAUGACUGUUGAAAAUUUAUGGUCGGAGGUGUAUGCAGAGAGAAUAAAGGUUGAAGGAAAACAGUCUAGUAGCAAGUCCAAGAAGAGAAAGCGCAAGCGUCACGAUGGCGAGCUUGCUGCAAACGUUUCUGGUGGCGAUCACAUUGUGGCAAGAGAAGAUAAUAAAAGAAAGAAGGAGAAUUCAGUUGUGCUGGAAAAGAGCAGCCAAAUUGACAAUGCUAAGAAAGGUACCAGUAAGAGAGGAAAUGGAAGUGAUAAAGUGAGUUCAGACCUUAGCCAGUAUGUGUUUGCUGGAGAGGAAGCUAAUGCAGAUGGUAAGGGUGAUAAGAAGAAAAAGAAGAAGAGAAAGGAAGGGAUUGAAGGAGGAAAAAAGGGCAAAGAAAAUGCAGCUCGGUCAAAGAACAAGGGUAGGUGGGUGACAUUUGCAGAUUUAGUGGAGGUUUUUAGCAUCGAAGGUGGUGAUGAUGAAGAGGGUGGAAGCAGUGGUGGAUCUGAACUUGUACAUGGACAACGGUUUACCCUGGAAGAAGACGCCACCCUCAUGGAAGCUAUGAGGGAUUAUGCAGAGAUGAAGCAGCUGGGAGAGGAAGGUUUAGAGAUGAUUCGUUGCUGUAGAAAAUACCCAGAGCUGAAGGGUUACUGGAGUGAUAUAGGGAAAUCGUUACCCCAUAGAGGCAUAGACCCCACGAGGCAAUUUACCAGGGAGCACGAAGAAUAUCACAAGAUUCGACAGUUUGUCGAAAAAAAUGGCACGGAUUGGAAGACAUUGUCAGAGGAACUUGGAAAGAGUGAGAUCCAUGUAAAAGAUACUUGGAGAAGAAUAAAGCCUAAGAACUUGAAAAAAGGGCGAUGGACCCAGGACGAGCACCAAAACUUGUUUGAUUUGGUGAACCUUGACCUGCGUCUGAAAGCCCAUCAGGAGAAAAAUCCUGGCCAUCGUAAGCUAAGAGAUAACAUUUCCUGGGAGACCAUCAGUGAUAAAUUGACCAGCCGUAAUCACAAGAAUUGCUGCUUGAAGUGGUAUGUCAUAUUAGCAUCUCCGCUGGUCAAGCAAGGAAUAUGGGCGGAUAUUGAUGAUUAUCACCUGGUGGAAGCGCUUCAAAGGGUCGAUGCUGUUUGCAUUGAAGAUGUUGAUUGGGAGAGCCUUCUCGGUCACAGGUCAGGGGAGGUUUGUCGUCAAAGAUGGAACAAGUGGAAGUGCUGUCCAAGCUUUACUGCCCAGAAAUGA